AACGAACGCUGGCGGCAUGCCUAACACAUGCAAGUCGAACGAGACCUUCGGGUCUAGUGGCGCACGGGUGCGUAACGCGUGGGAACCUGCCCUUAGGUUCGGAAUAACUCCCCGAAAGGGGUGCUAAUACCGGAUAAUGUCUUCGGACCAAAGAUUUAUCGCCUUUGGAUGGGCCCGCGUUGGAUUAGCUAGUUGGUAGGGUAAAAGCCUACCAAGGCGACGAUCCAUAGCUGGUCUGAGAGGAUGAUCAGCCACACUGGGACUGAGACACGGCCCAGACUCCUACGGGAGGCAGGAGUGGGGAAUAUUGGAAAAUGGGGGAAAGCCUGAUCAAGCAAUGCCGCGUGAGUGAUGAAGGCCUUAGGGUUGUAAAGCUGUUUUACCCGGGAUGAUAAUGACAGUACCGGGAGAAGAAGCGCCGGCUAACUCCGUG
rnacentral:rRNA from 1 species